CAGUAGCCGCGGGAAUACGUAGGUGGCAAGCGUUGUCCGGAAUUAUUGGGCGUAAAGCGCGCGCAGGCGGAUAGGUCAGUCUGUCUUAAAAGUUCGGGGCUUAACCCCGUGACGAGAUGGAAACUGCCAAUCUAGAGUAUCGGAGAGGAAAGUGGAAUUCCUAGUGUAGCGGUGAAAUGCGUAGAUAUUAGGAAGAACACCAGUGGCGAAGGCGACUUUCUGGACGAAAACUGACGCUGAGGCGCGAAAGCCAGGGGAGCGAACGGGAUUAGAUACCCGUGUAGUCCCUGUCUCUUAUACA
rnacentral:rRNA from 1 species